GAUCAACGCUGGCGGCGUGCCUAAUGCAUGCAAGUCGCACGGGGUGGCCUCGGUGGCUUACGUGGCGGACGGGUGAGGAACACGUGGGUAACCUGCCCGGUGGUGGGGCGUAGCCUUCGGAACGGAGGGUAAGUUCCGCAUAAGCUGGUCACUCGAGUGGGAGUGGUCGAGGAAAGACGCGCGAGCGCGCCGCCGGAGGGGUCGUGCGUCCGAUUAGC
rnacentral:rRNA from 1 species